CGCAAGAAGAGCAGGGGAAGGAGAAACCCUUCUCCUUUAACCUAACUCAAGAAUCACUUCAAUUAAGGGUGUUAUCAAGCAAGAAUCGGAUGCAUGGGUCCAAGAAAUCUGUAAUCUAAGCAUAUUGAACAUAAGGAUCAUGUCAAGAUGGGGGAAACAUGGAAGGCUACGGAAAGGAUAUGAGGAAGCAUGCACGAGACGGGCACUCGAGGUAUCGCUCGGGUUCCCUCUACCACUAGCGAAGUGAAGCAGACAUAGAUCGAGUUGAGAGCAAGGAUUGUACGGAAAAGAAAGGUCACAUAGUUUGUUUUAAAUUGGUCAUGAAGCCUUGAUUUAAUGUAACAUUGUGAAUCCUCUCUAAUGAACGUAUUACAUUUUGUAAUUGAGUUUUCAUGUAAUUAAUAUGACUUUUUAAGAACGAAA